UAAAAAUGUUACUGAUUUUUUCAGUGGUUACAAAAUUUACUGAAAGAUCAGUAGCUUUGAAUAAAUUUACUGACUAAUCAGUAAUUUACUGACUAAUAAUGAAUUUAGCUUCACGGCAGUAAAGAGUGCCAUCUACUUAAAAGCUUGUUUGUUAGACAGAGGUUGAUUGCAAGUUAUAAUCAAAGUUUAUUAUUUAUAUUGCACUAUUAUUAGGAUAAAUGUUUAUACGGUGACGUCAAAACCGCUAGGGAAAAUAUAUUUAACACUACACAUUUAAUGCCCAAUAUCUGAUGUUUGUGUACAAAAAAAAAAAAUAAUAAAAAAUUUUUCUCUGUAAACAUGUUUUCAAACUUAAAUUACCAAAUCUAUUGUAGCUAAGAAUAAGAUAUACUUUUAACCUUAUAGUUAGCUAAAUUGUCACUGUUUAUGCAAGCUAAAACUGCAAGCUUUAUGUUAGCGAUCCAAAGCGUUACCAACUAACCUUGUGUUAACCAUAGUUUGUUAGCUAAUUUUAGGCUAAAACUGAUAAAAUUAGCUUAAUACAAGCUAAUUCCAUUGAUGUCUUUCUACCUGGGAAUCUAAUCGAUAAUAAUGUCAAUGAAAUUUUUCAUAUUUCUUCUUAUUGGCUUAGCCAUGAUUGUAAACAUUGAAGGUUAUUUCGAUAACUGGUCUGCACCUGAUUGCAAACAAAAGGGACAAUUUUGUGGCGAAUAUGGGAGCUGUUGUAGGGGCCUAAUUUGUACUAAUCAUCGGAUGGAUAGAUCAACAUGUGAACCGGAUUUCUAUUACUAAUUUUAACGACAACUACUCAGAUAUUUUAUUUAUAAAAAAAAUUACGUUUCUUUCGAUACAUAACAGGGUACUCUUUAUAAGCAAAUAUUUUAAAAAAUAGUUUUUGUCAUACUUAAAACACUGAAUUUUGAAUAAAUAUA